AGAGUUUGAUCCUGGCUCAGGACGAACCCGGCGGCGUCCAAUACAUGGAAGUAGAACGCUGAAAGACUUUAGCUUGCUAAAGUUGGAAGAGUUGCGAACGGGUGAGUAACGCGUAGGUACCCUGCCUUACUAGCGGGGGAUAACUAUUGGAAACGAUAGCUAAUACCGCAUAACAGCAUUUAACACAUGUUAGAUGCUUGAAAGGAGCAAUUGCUUCACUAGUAGAUGGACCUGCGUUGUAUUAGCUAGUUGGUGAGGUAACGCUCACCAAGGCGACGAUACAUAGCCGACCUGAGAGGGUGAUCGGCCACACUGGGACUGAGACACGGCCCAGACUCUACGGGAGGCAGCAGUAGGGAAUCUUCGGCAAUGGGGGCAACCCUGACCGAGCAACGCCGCGUGAGUGAAGAAGGUUUUCGGAUCGUAAAGCUCUGUUGUAAGAGAAGAACGUGUGUGAGAGUGGAAAGUUCACACAGUGACGGUAACUUACCAGAAAGGGACGGCUAACUACGUGCCAGCAGCCGCGGUAAU
rnacentral:rRNA from 1 species